rnacentral:rRNA from 1 species
UACGUAGGGUGCAAGCGUUGUCCGGAAUUAUUGGGCGUAAAGAGCUCGUAGGCGGUUUGUUGCGUCGGCUGUGAAAUCCCGAGGCUCAACCUCGGGUCUGCAGUCGAUACGAGCAAACUAGAGUGUUGCAGGGGAGACUGGAAUUCCUGGUGUAGCGGUGAAAUGCGCAGAUAUCAGGAGGAACACCGGUGGCGAAGGCGGCAUCCUGGACCGGCAUUGACGCUGAGGCGCGAAAGCCAGGGGAGCAAACGGG